AGCAGUCGCCGCGGGAAGACAGAGGAUGCAAGCGUUAAUCGAAAUUACUGGGCGUAAAGCGUGCGUAGGCGGUUCGUUAAGUCUGUUGUGAAAGCCCCGGGCUCAACCUGGGAAUGGCAAUGGAUACUGGCGAGCUAGAGUGUGUCAGAGGAUGGUGGAAUUCCCGGUGUAGCGGUGAAAUGCGUAGAGAUCGGGAGGAACAUCAGUGGCGAAGGCGGCCAUCUGGGACAACACUGACGCUGAGGCACGAAAGCGUGGGGAGCAAACAGGAUUAGAUACCCCUGUAGUCCCUGUCUCUUAUAC
rnacentral:rRNA from 1 species